CUCUCAGUGUCUGUGGUUUGGUUUUGAUGAGUAGUAACUCUACAAAUUUCAGUAUUUGGUUUUGUCCUCGUUUCUAGAGACGCGAGCUGCGAGAAUGUUCAGAAUGUUCAUGCAAAACGGUUUUAUUUCUAUUUACCUUCUGAUUAUUUGGAAUUCAUCCAUCAUCUCAGGAAACUCUUCUGCAGUUCCUCUUCGUUUCUUACUGGGAUGUGAGGCGGUGAUUCCAUGUCGACCUGUGAAGAGCCGCUCAGACUCUUUCAAAUGGUUUUACAAGAAGAGCGACCAAAACGACCAAAUAAAAAUAUUUUUUCAAGAUAAGAAUCGAAAACGGCGUUACUCUCUCAGCCAUAAAAGAGGAAAAGUUAAGGGUGAUCGCUCCCUGGUCAUUAGCAAUUUCACUGAGCUCGAUCAAGGAUCAUACUGGUGUGAAAGCUGUGACCGAACCGAAUGCAAAAAAUCCACAGUUUUCAGAGUGACGGAAGACAUUUGGGAGGAAACUAACAGAACAGUUCAUGUUGUAGAAGGCAGGACUUUUGAACAAGUAUGUCCGGGUGAAAUAAUCCCCUCAAAAUGGACUUUUGAAGCACAAAAUCUUCGUGAUAAAUCCUCACUUGGACCAGAAUCAAAUGCUUUGACUUUCAACAAGAGCAUACGUAUCAGAGAUGUGAAAACAGCCCAUGCUGGUCGAUACACCUGCUGGACGAGAGGCUGCCGCAGAGCUCAGAAGCUUCUCACCGUUUGCUUGUGUGUUCUCACAGCUCACCAGAGAAAUGAUUCAUCCUCUUGUGCCUUGACAUGUGAUGAGGAAUCAAGUUCGACACAAACGUUUGAUGAGAACGCAACAGUAACCAGCAGUUAUGUUGCAGUAAAUUCAUAUAACACAACAGGUACAGAAGAGCCCAAAUAUCGGACUCUAGUCAGAUAUGUAGUGCCCAUGGCUCGUGUUCAUCACACUUUCCAUCUUCUUCUUUAGAUCAAGACUGUGGGCGGCAUAUUCAAAUCGCUGUUGCUGUGGAGGGAAUGACAACGCGGAAGAAGAGACUUCGGUGGUCUACUCACCCAUUGUUAUCAGGACACAAAACAAAGCAACUCAUCAUCGUAUCGCUGAAUCUAAUUGUAUUUAUAGAAAAAAAACCCAGGUUGGUGACAAUUAGGUCUUGGCCUAUGACUUCACCCGGUGUGGAUGACCCCGUUGGUGGUGUUUCCCCAUGAUGCUCAGUACCAUGCCAUGUCUCCCAAAUUCAUGUGACGAGAGAGAGAGCGAGAGAGAGAGAGAGAGAGAGAAAGAGAGAAAGAGAAAUAGAGAGAGGAAGAGAGAGUUUGUGUGUGCGUGUGUGCGCGUUCAAUUUCGUUGAAGGCGCGGCUUUUUUUAUUUUCUUAAAUAUUGAUUUUUGUUCAAAUACAGCUGUAACACAAUGUGUUGUUUUUGUGCACAUUAUAAAUAGAGAUUGAUUUGACUGAUCUUCUCCUUUAUAAAAAGUAAAGUUAGAUAGAUAGAUAGAUAGAUAGAUAGAUAGAGCACACUCGGAACCAGCGACAGGAGAAGCUGUAAUAGCGGCUGGCCACAGAGGGGACGAUGAACAGCAGAGCAUCAAACCAGCUCUGUUGAGAUGUAUGCUAUUUUGAUGGCACUGAGGUGGGUUAGAGAGAGUCAGACAAACUUAUAUGAUUUUCAACGGUGCCUCCUGGUGGAAAAUGUCAAAUGUUGCAGCGUGUAUUCUUUUCUAAAAUUUUGUUGCAACUGAAAAUUAAAUAAAUACUG